rnacentral:rRNA from 1 species
UGGGGAAUUGUUCGCAAUGGGCGCAACCCUGAUCCAGCAAUGCCGCGUGAGUGAAGAAGGCCUUCGGGUUGUAAAGCUCUUUUGUCAGGGAAGAAACGGUAGUAGCGAAUAACUAUUACUAAUGACGGUACCUGAAGAAUAAGCACCGGCUAACUACGUGCCAGCAGCCGCGGUAAUACGUAGGGUGCAAGCGUUAAUCGGAAUUACUGGGCGUAAAGCGUGCGCAGGCGGUUGUGUAAGUCAGAUGUGAAAUCCCCGGGCUCAACCUGGGAAUUGCAUUUGAGACUGCACGGCUAGAGUGUGUCAGAGGGGGGUAGAAUUCCACGUGUAGCAGUGAAAUGCGUAGAUAUGUGGAGGAAUACCGAUGGCGAAGGCAGCCCCCUGGGAUAACACUGACGCUCAUGCACGAAAGCGUGGGGAGCAAACAGGAUUAGAUACCCUCGUAGUCCCUGAGCGGGCUGGCAAGGCGCAU